GUGUUACAUGCUGGAAAAAAGUCAUCUCACUACAAACAGCUCUUCUGGAAGAUGUACUCAUUCUCCACUUGUUUGGAGUGUGGGUUUGAGUACAAAUGCUGCACACCUGGUACUUUUUGUGUAAAUUGGUUAUGCUGGGAAGGGAAAGCGAGGUGAGCUCCAGGGCAUUUAUUCAAAAACCUUCCACCCUGGAUUUUGCAGAUUUGACUGCAUGCAGAUCAGUUCUAAUGAGCUGAUAUAGUUUCCUUACAAAGACUAAAAAUAAUAAAAUAAAAUAAACACUUUUGCAAUCAA